GACGAACGCUGGCGGCGUGCUUAACACAUGCAAGUCGAACGGAAAGGCCCUGCUGUUUUGGGGUGCUCGGGUGGCGAACGGGUAAGUAACACGUGCGUAACCUGCCCUUGACUUUGGGAUAACUUCAGGAAACUGGGGCUAAUACCCGAUAGGAGCUCCUGCGGCAGGGUGGGGGUUGGAAAGUUUCGGCGGAUGGGGAUGGACUCGCGGCUUAUCAUCUUGGUGGUGGGGUAGUGGCUUACCAAGGCUUUGACGGGUAGCCGGCAUGAGAGGGUGACCGGCGACAAUGGGCCUGAGGUACGGACCAGACUGCUACGGGAGGCAGCAGUGGGGAAUCUUGCACAACGGGCGGAAGCCUGAUGCAGCAACGCUGCGGGCGGGAUGACGGCCUUCGGGUUGUAAACCGCUUUCGCCUGUGACGAAGCGUGCGUGACGGUAAUGGGUAAAGAAGCACCGGCUAACUACGUG
rnacentral:rRNA from 1 species